rnacentral:rRNA from 1 species
UGGGGAAUUUUGCACAAUGGGGGAAACCCUGAUGCAGCGACGCCGCGUGAUUUAGAAGGCCUUCGGGUUGUAAAAAUCUUUUUUAUGGGAUAAAAAUGACAGUACCAUAAGAAUAAGGUCCGGCUAAAUACGUGCCAGCAGCCGCGGUAAUACGUAUGGACCGAGCGUUGUCCGGAAUCAUUGGGCGUAAAGGGUACGUAGGCGGCCCAGUAAGUUAGAAGUGAAAUAAUAUAGCUCAACUAUAUAAAGCUUUUAAAACUGCUAGGCUUGAGAGAUGGAAGGGAAAGUGGAAUUCCUAGUGUAGCGGUGAAAUGCGCAGAUAUUAGGAAGAAUACCGGUGGCGAAGGCGACUUUCUGGUCAUCAUCUGACGCUGAGGUACGAAAGCGUGGGUAGCAAACAGG